UGCCUGUCUACCUAGGGCUGACCCCCAGGUCCAGAUUUGAGAGUCUGGGCUGGCUGACUGCUGGGUGGCUUUGGUAGAAGCUGGCUUGUCUUCUGGUUCCAUUUUUCUCUCCACCCCAGUAUCUUGGGUUACUCUGGAAAGCUAUGCGAUGCCCAUGUGCACACCCAGUUAAAGGGCAUUCGAGUCUUUGCCCGUAGAAAUUUCAUAAAUAGAAUAUGUAAUGAGCCAUGCAUGUCUUAUCACUAAGGAAUCCAGGGGAAUCUGAAACUUGGAUGACAAAGUCUCUUAUGGGUCUUUCCUUCUCACACCGCUUGAUACAGCACGACUGUCUUGAAGUCAGCCAGCGGCCUACAGAGGCGGUCUUUCCAUCUGUUUCCGAAAACCUGGUGGCUUGUGCAGCCUGGGAAACUUGCCCACAGCCAUCCCACGUGGUGAGUCAGCUCUCUGGCUCCAUUAUCUACUGUCUCUUCCCAGAUGUGACUCCCUGUUUAGGAGCAAGCAAAGUUAUGGGGACCCAGGGGAGAAGCAGACACUCCCCUAAUGCACAAUCCUGCUGAGAAUUUACCCAAACCCAAGGAGGUGGAGAUGGAGUAGAGCUUGAGUCCUUUCCAAGACUGUUAACUGAAGAUUUCUGUUGUGACAUCACAUAGAAUUUUGACUAGCAUUCACCAAGGAUGAACUGAAAGCAGGAUCGGUCUCACCAUACACUGAAAACUGUAGAAUAUGCAAGGCACAUGGAACUUAUUUUCUUACGUAUAAAAGCGUGUAUAUGCUCCUUAUACAUCUGUCCUAAUGCUUUCCAACAGUCCUCACUCUAAGCCUCACCAAGACCCAGAUGAGGAAACAAAGGCACAGAGGGAUAAACUCAGAGCAGGAAGACAGCAAGGAAUAGCAGUGAAAAGCAUGGUGCUUAAUCCAACCCCUUACUCACUGCUGAGACCUGGAAAUGUGUUCAUCAGCUACAAAACAGGAGAGAUGAUAACUCAUUAUGUAUAUGUGAUGAUAAACAGAGACAAUAUAUUGAAAAGCUUAUAUGAGUGGCGGACAUGGGACAUGCUUCCCUGUGGCUGGCCAGCCUGUCAUCUUCUCCACCAUGUGUCCAGAGAAAAGCUUUGCAAAUCAACCUCUCGAUGAAUGAUGAUGGCACCAGUGAAAUCAGGGGAGGCAGAAAAUCAUGUUAGUUUGUUUUAUAAUGCAAGAAGUUACAGAACACAGAGUGCUCAAAACUAAGAAUGUGCUAGUUGUAUAACAGGGUCCUUCUUGGGACUCAGCCAGGAUUCAAACUAUAAAGGAAAAUCGGGCGAGCAGGUGGGAUAGUCAAGUGAUUCUAUUUGCAUGAAUAAAUUUGUGAGAUGAUACCUUCUUGUCCAGGAACAUUGAGCAGUGCUCGUGCUGGGUGGAUUGUGAUGUGGAAACCCUGGGAGAUGUCAUGUCUGACAUCAACUUUCUCCCAGGUGACAGCUGCACCCUCUAAAGGCUUCUCAAGUGACAGAGCUCAAUGAAUAUAGAAGGGAAAAGUAUGAGGAUGACCUAUGAGCACAGGGUGGACAGUCUCUGCGGUGGGCAGGCAUUAGCAAAGGAGAGACCUUCUGUAUUAUGCAGAGUGGAAUUUUCCAGAGGCUACAUGAUGAGUGAUGUCACGACAGAUUGAGUACAGAGCCAACUAUGAGAAUCCAGCUGCCUUCUAUUAAGAGUGAGGCAAUGAGGGUUCAGAAUGAAGUUCCCCAUAGGAUGGAAUAAAGAAUGACUUGCAGGCAAGAGAUAAAGAGAGGGUUUCUGCCAUUUCAGGAGAAUUUCCUACAUGAUCC
rnacentral:lncRNA from 1 species